rnacentral:tRNA from 1 species
GGUUUUGUAUUCAAAAAUGAUAUUAGACUGCAAUUCUAAAGGUGUAAAUAUAUACUAAGACCU